rnacentral:tRNA from 3 species
GCUGGAGUGGCUCAGUUGGUAGAGCAGCUGAUUCGUAAUCAGCAGGUCGUCGGUUCAAGUCCGAUCUCCAGCUCCA